rnacentral:rRNA from 1 species
UACGGAGGAUGCAAGCGUUAUCCGGAAUGAUUGGGCGUAAAGCGUCCGCAGGUGGCGAUGUAAGUCUGCUGUUAAAGAGUCUAGCUCAACUAGAUAAAAGCAGUGGAAACUACAUAGCUAGAGUACGUUCGGGGCAGAGGGAAUUCCUGGUGUAGCGGUGAAAUGCGUAGAGAUCAGGAAGAACACCAGUGGCGAAGGCGCUCUGCUAGGCCGUAACUGACACUGAGGGACGAAAGCUAGGGGAGCGAAUGGGAUUAGAUACCCCAGUAGUCCUAGCCGUAAACGAUGGAUACUAGGCGUGGCUUGUAUCGACCCGAGCCGUGCCGUAGCUAACGCGUUAAGUAUCCCGCCUGGGGAGU